rnacentral:rRNA from 1 species
ACGCACGCUGGCGGCGUGCUUAACCCAUGCCAGUCGAACGGAAAGGCCCUGCUUUUGUGGGGUGCUCGAGUGGCGAACGGGUGAGUAACACGUGAGUAACCUGCCCUUGACUUUGGGAUAACUUCAGGAAACUGGGGCUAAUACCGGAUAGGGGCUCCUGCUGCAUGGUGGGGGUUGGAAAGUUUCGGCGGUUGGGGAUGGACUCGCGGCUUAUCAGCUUGUUGGUGGGGUAGUGGCUUACCAAGGCUUUGACGGGUAGCCGGCCUGAGAGGGUGACCGGCCACAUUGGGACUGAGAUACGGCCCAGACUCCUACGGGAGGCAGCAGUGGGGAAUAUUGCACAAUGGGCGGAAGCCUGAUGCAGCAACGCCGCGUGCGGGAUGACGGCCUUCGGGUUGUAAACCGCUUUCGCCUGUGACGAAGCGUGAGUGACGGUAAUGGGUAAAGAAGCACCGGCUAACUACGUG